GCGGGGGUUGCCGAGCCUGGACAAAGGCGCGGGAUUGAGGGUCCCGUCCCGAAGGGGUUCGUGGGUUCAAAUCCCACCCCCCGCA
rnacentral:tRNA from 1 species